rnacentral:rRNA from 1 species
UGCAAGUCGAGCGCGGGAAGCGAGUGGAUCCCUUCGGGGUGAAGCUCGUGGAACGAGCGGCGGACGGGUGAGUAACACGUGGGCAACCUGCCUGUAAGAUCGGAAUAACCCCGGGAAACCGGGGCUAAUGCCGGGUAAUACUUUCUUUCGCAUGAAGGAAAGUUGAAAGAUGGCUUCUUGCUAUCACUUACAGAUGGGCCCGCGGCGCAUUAGCUAGUUGGUGAGGUAACGGCUCACCAAGGCGACGAUGCGUAGCCGACCUGAGAGGGUGAUCGGCCACACUGGGACUGAGACACGGCCCAGACUCCUACGGGAGGCAGCAGUAGGGAAUCUUCCGCAAUGGACGAAAGUCUGACGGAGCAACGCCGCGUGAACGAUGAAGGUCUUCGGAUCGUAAAGUUCUGUUGUUAGGGAAGAACAAGUACCGUGCGAAUAGAGCGGUACCUUGACGGUACCUAACGAGGAAGCCCCGGCUAACUACGUGCCAGCAGCCGCGGUAAUACGUAGGGGGCAAGCGUUGUCCGGAAUUAUUGGGCGUAAAGCGCGCGCAGGCGGUUCCUUAAGUCUGAUGUGAAAGCCCACGGCUCAACCGUGGAGGGUCAUUGGAAACUGGGGAACUUGAGGACAGAAGAGGAGAGUGGAAUUCCACGUGUAGCGGUGAAAUGCGUAGAUAUGUGGAGGAACACCAGUGGCGAAGGCGACUCUCUGGUCUGUUUCUGACGCUGAGGUGCGAAAGCGUGGGUAGCAAACAGGAUUAGAUACCCUGGUAGUCCACGCCGUAAACGAUGAGUGCUAGGUGUUAAGGGGGCUUCCACCCCCUUAGUGCUGAAGUUUAACGCAUUUAAGCACUCCGUCCUGGGGGAGUACGGGCCGCAAGGGCUGGAAACUCAAAAGGAAUUGACCGGGGGCCCGCCACAAUCGGUGGAAGCAUGUGGGUUUAAUUCCAAAGCUAACGCGGAAGAAACCUUUACCAGGGUCUUGGACAUUCCUUGGGACAAACCCUAAAAAUAUAGGGACUUUUCCCGUUCCGGGGAACCAAUGUGAAAUGGGGGGGGGCAUGGUUUUGGCCUUCCAGUCCCGAGGUCCAUGGAAAAGGGUUGGGGUUUAAGUUCCCCGUUAAACGCGAGGGGAA